rnacentral:rRNA from 1 species
AUUGAACGCUGGCGGCAUGCUUUACACAUGCAAGUCGAACGGUAACAGGCCGCAAGGUGCUGACGAGUGGCGAACGGGUGAGUAAUGCAUCGGAACGUGCCCAGUCGUGGGGGAUAACGCAGCGAAAGCUGCGCUAAUACCGCAUACGAUCUAUGGAUGAAAGCGGGGGACCGUAAGGCCUCGCGCGAUUGGAGCGGCCGAUGUCAGAUUAGGUAGGUGGUGGGGUAAAGGCUCACCAAGCCAACGAUCUGUAGCUGGUCUGAGAGGACGACCCGCCACACUGGAACUGAGACACGGCCCAGACUCCUACGGGAGGCAGCAGUGGGGAAUUUUGGACAAUGGGCGCAAGCCUGAUCCAGCAAUGCCGCGUGCAGGAAGAAGGCCUUCGGGUUGUAAACUGCUUUUGUACGGAACGAAACGGUCCUGGUUAAUACCUGGGGCUAAUGACGGUACCGUAAGAAUAAGCACCGGCUAACUACGUGCCAGCCGCCGCGGUAAAAC